rnacentral:rRNA from 1 species
GAUGAACGCUGGCGGCGUGCCUAAUACAUGCAAGUCGAGCGAACGGACGAGAAGCUUGCUUCUCUGAUGUUAGCGGCGGACGGGUGAGCAACACGUGGAUAACCUACCUAUAAGACUGGGAUAACUUCGGGAAACCGGAGCUAAUACCGGAUAAUAUUUUGAACCGCAUGGUUCAAAAGUGAAAGACGGUCUUGCUGUCACUUAUAGAUGGAUCCGCGCUGCAUUAGCUAGUUGGUAAGGUAACGGCUUACCAAGGCAACGAUGCAUAGCCGACCUGAGAGGGUGAUCGGCCACACUGGAACUGAGACACGGUCCAGACUCCUACGGGAGGCAGCAGUAGGGAAUCUUCCGCAAUGGGCGAAAGCCUGACGGAGCAACGCCGCGUGAGUGAUGAAGGUCUUCGGAUCGUAAAACUCUGUUAUUAGGGAAGAACAUAUGUGUAAGUAACUGUGCACAUCUUGACGGUACCUAAUCAGAAAGCCACGGCUAACUACGUGCCAGCAGCCGCGGUAAUACGUAGGUGGCAAGCGUUAUCCGGAAUUAUUGGGCGUAAAGCGCGCGUAGGCGGUUUUUUAAGUCUGAUGUGAAAGCCCACGGCUCAACCGUGGAGGGUCAUUGGAAACUGGAAAACUUGAGUGCAGAAGAGGAAAGUGGAAUUCCAUGUGUAGCGGUGAAAUGCGCAGAGAUAUGGAGGAACACCAGUGGCGAAGGCGACUUUCUGGUCUGUAACUGACGCUGAUGUGCGAAAGCGUGGGGAUCAAACAGGAUUAGAUACCCUGGUAGUCCACGCCGUAAACGAUGAGUGCUAAGUGUUAGGGGGUUUCCGCCCCUUAGUGCUGCAGCUAACGCAUUAAGCACUCCGCCUGGGGAGUACGACCGCAAGGUUGAAACUCAAAGGAAUUGACGGGGACCCGCACAAGCGGUGGAGCAUGUGGUUUAAUUCGAAGCAACGCGAAGAACCUUACCAAAUCUUGACAUCCUUUGACAACUCUAGAGAUAGAGCCUUCCCCUUCGGGGGGCAAAGUGACAGGUGGUGCAUGGUUGUCGUCAGCUCGUGUCGUGAGAUGUUGGGUUAAGUCCCGCAACGAGCGCAACCCUUAAGCUUAGUUGCCAUCAUUAAGUUGGGCACUCUAAGUUGACUGCCGGUGACAAACCGGAGGAAGGUGGGGAUGACGUCAAAUCAUCAUGCCCCUUAUGAUUUGGGCUACACACGUGCUACAAUGGACAAUACAAAGGGCAGCGAAACCGCGAGGUCAAGCAAAUCCCAUAAAGUUGUUCUCAGUUCGGAUUGUAGUCUGCAACUCGACUACAUGAAGCUGGAAUCGCUAGUAAUCGUAGAUCAGCAUGCUACGGUGAAUACGUUCCCGGGUCU